rfam:Epilithonimonas sp. 36-9 SCNpilot_cont_300_bf_scaffold_307, whole genome shotgun sequence.
CUGCAAUAGGGAUAUUAGUGGAAAUCCUUUUUUGUGGCUUGAAAAAUUUAAUCAAAAGCUGGAAACGUGUUCCACAAAAAAGAUUGUAGCGGAUAGCCCGACCCGAG